rnacentral:rRNA from 1 species
AACGAACGCUGGCGGCAGGCUUAACACAUGCAAGUCGAACGCCCCGCAAGGGGAGUGGCAGACGGGUGAGUAACGCGUGGGAAAAUACUCUUUUCUACGGAAUAGCUCUGGGAAACUGGAAUUAAUACCGUAUACGCACUACGGGGGAAAGAUUUAUCGGGGAAGGAUUGGCCCGCGUUGGAUUAGCUAGUUGGUGGGGUAAAGGCCUACCAAGGCGACGAUCCAUAGCUGGUCUGAGAGGAUGAUCAGCCACAUUGGGACUGAGACACGGCCCAAACUCCUACGGGAGGCAGCAGUGGGGAAUAUUGGACAAUGGGCGCAAGCCUGAUCCAGCCAUGCCGCGUGAGUGAUGAAGGCCUUAGGGUUGCAAAGCUCUUUCACCGAUGAAGAUAAUGACGGUAGUCGGAGAAGAAGCCCCGGCUAACUUCGUGCCAGCCGCCGCAGUAACAC